AUCGAACGCUGGCGGCAGGCCUAAUACAUGCCAGUCGAGCGGAGCGGCGGACGGGUGAGUAAUGCCUACGUAUCUGCCCGGUAGUGGGGGAUAACGUCCGGAACCGGGCGCUAAUACCGCAUCCUAUCAGAUGAGCCUAGUGCGGAUUAGUUCGUUGGUGGGGUAAAGGCCUACCAAGGCGACGAUCCGUAGCUGGACUGAGAGGCUGAUCAGUCACACUGGAACAGAGACACGGUCCAAACUCCUACGGGAGGCAGCAGUGGGGAAUAUUGGACAAUGGGCGAAAGCCUGAGCCAGCCAUGCCGCGUGAGUGAAGAAGGUCUUCGGAUUGUAAAGCACUGUAAGUAGGGAGGCGUGACCAACAGAAUAAGCACCGGCUAACUUCGUGCCAGCAGCCGCGGUAAUUC
rnacentral:rRNA from 1 species